AUUUAUGUCUUUGCCUUCCUGCUUUUCACGAGGUGUUGCGUUUAACGAGCUCAGUUUACUGGCAAAACAAAACACCCGACUUGGGAUAAUUUGGCUGUGAAAUUGAUUCACAGCCGCUUUAUUUAAAAUCUCGUCAUUUAAUUAGAAAUAUCAUAAAAUCAUUAAAAUUGAUAAUUUCAGUUAAUAACUUGAGUCUGUUAAUGUUCAUUGCCAGUAAAGGUGGCAGGACUACACGCCAAUUAGGCAAAAAAGGUAUAAUAAUGAUAUGUACAAGAAAAGACAACAAACUAAAAUACAAAGCGGCAGGCCAGCGGGGGGAGGUGGGAAGAAAAUUCGUAUGUCUUCACUCGAUCACGAGAAAGGUUGAAUUGAGAAGUGAAUAACUUUGCUUUGCUUUUAGUAGCUAAAAUUUGGCCUUGACUUAAUGUUUCUUACGUAGGUAAAAGCACCGGAAUUUCCUUCUCCGCCAAGUCCCACCUUAAUCUGCCACAAUCCACUCUAACUAUUUCCUACUUUUAUCUUAUCACUAUAAUUCAGGCUUGACAUAAAAAACCAUAUUUCCGUAGGAAAUAUUUUUAUUUAUGUCUUUGCCUUCCUGCUUUUCACGAGGUGUUGCGUUUAACGAGCUCAGUUUACUGGCAAAACAAAACACCCGACUUGGGAUAAUUUGGCUGUGAAAUUGAUUCACAGCCGCUUUAUUUAAAAUCUCGUCAUUUAAUUAGAAAUAUCAUAAAAUCAUUAAAAUUGAUAAUUUCAGUUAAUAACUUGUUAAUGUUCAUUGCCAGUAAAGGUGGCAGGACUACACGCCAAAGACUACGCCAUUGAAGUCAGUCGAACGUAAAUCGCGGAGUCUCCCCACCCGAGGAAAACGCAACACCACUAGCAAACAGCAUUUAAUUAUUAUAAUGUUUUAUAGCGAGCCAAAAUACACCGCAGUAACCCCUGUUAACUGUAGUGUAGGCCGAUCGAAAGCAGUCGCCUCUGCGAAACCAUUAUGAGUAAUAGCAGAAUGUUGUAAAUAGAGCCCUUCAAUACUAAACAUCUAACAGUCGCCCCUGCUGACUGUUGUUAACACAACCACUAAACAUUUAACAGUCGCCCCUGCUAACUGUUGUUCACACACAGAAAGGAAUAAAAUAGUCAGAAAUAACAGUUUAAUUUAAGUGAAUAAUUACUAAUGAACAUUAAUAUACCUGGUGAUCAAGAAGAGAUGUCCGCCCCUGCUAGACAGGCCCUCUGGACCACCAAAUAUACUAUGCAACGGACCAAGCGACAACACCCCGCGACAUUGUCGCCCGGUUUGGAAGGAUUGUGUUACUCAGAUAAUGAAGCAGUCGUUGAAAGAGAUGAAACUCGAAUAUACUUUUGAAAUGCAUUCGUUUUCCACCGACCUAGAAGACGAAUCUGUGCAUCGGACAAACCAUUCUCAGCAGCGAAAGAUGCUGCACCGAUUCGAAACGAAUGUGAUUUGUAAUGCGACGGACUUGGGUCACAGUAUUUGAGGCAAGCAACAAGGUUAGCGGUAAAAACUUUUCUCGGCACCGCGACGCCCUCCACUGUCAUAAAUACUGGACCCGGACUACAGCCACGAUGAUUUAAAUAUGUUGAUAAUAAUUGUACAGGGCAAGCGCUUGUUUGCCGGUUGAUGACCAUAGUAAAUGGUCGCUGAUUGUAGUUAUGCUUGUAAUCAGCAAAUAGUAAUUUGUAACCAAUCACUUCACCAUCUCUUGAGAGUUUGGUGAGCUGGUUUAACUGUAUAGGGCAAUUGCCCGGCUGUGAUGUUGCGGUGAUCUCACCCACGCGCAAAAAUGCGAAGAAUGCUAGAGCACACAUCGCACGAAAUUGGCACUGGUCGUAGUACGUAGCGACACAGUGUGGCACAGCCAUUACUAAUCGAUUUAAAAUCGUUAGCGUAAUAGGCAACCUAGCGUCCAAACGAAAACCCUGUUUGCCAUAGCCUUUCAACAUUUGCACAAUGUAAAAUAUUUUAGUGGGAUCCAUCAAUCCCAUUAAUUUGUGGGAAUAGCCGAGAGCCGAGACGUAGGUGUUGACAGUAGAGGGGGCGUAGCGCCGGUCAAACAUGUAGGCGAUAAAAAGUGCUAAUGUAGGAGGCGAAAUUGGUAAUUUAUAUGAAAAUGUUUGAAACACAUGAGAAUGAAAUUGGUCAAAAAGUUUCCAAGCGCGUCGGUAAGUCGGAAUUGAGGAUGGCUGGAGGCUCGAUUGUGUCAAGUGGGAAACGAUAUUUCCCAAUUCGCUGGCAACAGAUGCCGCGGAAUGUCCGUUGCACAGGAAUUCAUCGAGGCUGGUGCUUCGCGUUUGAAGGUUUGAACCUGAAAUCGAGACAAAAGAUCAGCCAGGCGAUUGUACGUCCCAGGAAUGUGUUUGGCUUUAAAUAAAAUAUUGUGGUUUAAACAAACAAGAACAAGCUUGCGAACAAAAAACAUCAAUGCCUUGUCCUUGCAUGAUUGCUUAUUAAUGACAUGAACGAGUGCUUCAUUAUCAGUAAAAAAUAAAAUGCUAUGAUUCGCCAUCUUAUGACCCCAUAAAUACAGACUCAGUACAAUGGGGUAGAAUUCCAAAAUGGCAAUGUUACGGUGGCGCCAGUGAUCGGGCCAGAAACCGUGGCAGAAUUCCGUGCCAAAAAUUGCACCAAAACCGAUGCCACCCGCGGCGUCCGUGAACAAAUUAAG
rnacentral:lncRNA from 1 species